UGACUUCUGUUCUCUUUCCAG
rnacentral:miRNA from 1 species